UUCCUAUCCUUUUUUUUUUUUUUUCCUAUCCUUUUUGCUUUUAUUUUAAAAAAUUUUUGAUUGACAGAUUCAAUUUAUGAGGAGUAGAUUAGAAUUAUAUGGUGAAGAAAGAUAUUGGAAUGCACCUACUUUUAUUUUGAAUUUUAUGGAGAUAUGCAUUGGAGAAAUGAAAGUGGGUUCAUUAUAGGAUGUCUUCUGUAAAUUAGCAGUCUUGAUCAUACUCGUUAUUACUCCCAUAUAAUGGGCCCCAUUAGUUAAUUUUACAAUUAACUCAUCUGCAUUGUUCAAAGAAGUAACAUUAGGUUUCUUUGAUGGGGUUCAUUACUGAAGGCAGAAAUAAGAUGAUGGUUUCUAGGGUCUUUUGUCUUGGAAUUUUUGUGACUUAUAACAGGUAACUUUGGAAGUGCUAUUUGAAACCUGAAAGGUGCAUUGCAUAUGCGGGUGGAUAUUCUUGAGGCUGACCCUUUUGUCGGAAAGUCGAACUUGAUGCACCAAUUGGUUUUAUGGUAACAAGUUACUGGGUGGAGCACAAGCAAUCACUAAUUAAUUGCUAGAAUUUGUUAGCCUUAAGCUCACUUCGCUUCUCUGUUGCUUUUGUCCGUUUUAACAACCGGUGCUAUCUACUGAAGCAUAUGAUCCUUUUGCUUGCUGAUACAUCAAAUAGAAAGACGAACUCUCGAUGAUGUGCUCGCAUUUCCUUGUGUCUCUGUGGUU